ACUUGAUUUUUUUAUUUUAUUUUAUUUUCUUUAUUUUAUUUUUGUUUUAAUGUUAAUCGUGUUUUCUAGGUUUUUGUGCCUAAUGUUUGCAGGAUGCAAUUCAGACAAGAAUUUAACUAUUUGGGCACUCUAUUCUACCAAAGUAAUUUCAACCACUGCUGGAAACCUCACUGAUGGUUGUCGCGGCCCAUGCAAAAUUUUAUGAGCAUAAAAGAAUGCAGUAUAGUACUAGGAAGUGACUCCUAGGUCGUCUCUCAAGGACCAAAUGUGGUUCGGAGUCUUAGGUUUAAC
rnacentral:lncRNA from 1 species